AAGGAUUUAAGUUAAAUAAACUAGUAACCUUCAAAGUUAAAAAUAGAAAAAUUUUCUAAGCCUUA
rnacentral:tRNA from 1 species